CCUACGGGAGGCAGCAGUGGGGAAUCUUGCGCAAUGGGCGAAAGCCUGACGCAGCCAUGCCGCGUGAAUGAUGAAGGUCUUAGGAUUGUAAAAUUCUUUCACCGAGGACGAUAAUGACGGUACUCGGAGAAGAAGCCCCGGCUAACUUCGUGCCAGCAGCCGCGGUAAUACGAAGGGGGCUAGCGUUGCUCGGAAUUACUGGGCGUAAAGGGAGCGUAGGCGGAUAGUUUAGUCAGAGGUGAAAGCCCAGGGCUCAACCUUGGAAUUGCCUUUGAUACUGGCUAUCUUGAGUACGGAAGAGGUAUGUGGAACUCCGAGUGUAGAGGUGAAAUUCGUAGAUAUUCGGAAGAACACCAGUGGCGAAGGCGACAUACUGGUCCGUUACUGACGCUGAGGCUCGAAAGCGUGGGGAGCAAACAGGAUUAGAUACCCUGGUAGUCCACGCUGUAAACGAUGAGUGCUAGUUGUCGGCAUGCAUGCAUGUCGGUGACGCAGCUACGACAUAAGACACGUCCGCCGUCGGGUAGGUACGGUCGCGAAGUAAGUUAAACGUUAAAGUUAAAGUUAGUUACGGACGUGAGACGCGCGACGGACGACGACGAGGGAGGAGG
rnacentral:rRNA from 1 species